rnacentral:rRNA from 1 species
UAGGGAAUUUUCCGCAAUGGCCGCAAGUCUGACGGAGCAACGCCGCGUGAGUGAAGAAGUAUUUCGGUUCGUAAAACUCUGUCGUUAGAGAAGAACAGCGCAUAGAGUAACUGUUAUGCGUGUGACGGUAUCUAACCAGAAAGCCACGGCUAACUACGUGCCAGCAGCUGCGGUAAUACGUAGGUGGCAAGCGUUGUCCGGAUUUAUUGGGCGUAAAGCGAGCGCAGGCGGUCAAUUAAGUCUGAUGUGAAAGCCCCCGGCUCAACCGGGGAGGGUCAUUGGAAACUGGUUGACUUGAGUGCAGAAGAGGAAAGUGGAAUUCCAUAUGUAUCGGUGAAAUGCGUAGAUAUAUGGUGGAAAACCAGUGGCGAAGGCGACUCUCUGGUCUGUAACUGACGCUUAGGCGCGAAAGCGUGGGUAGCAAACAGG